AACGAACGCUGGCGGCAGGCUUAGCACAUGCAAGUCGAGCGCCCCGCAAGGGGAGCGGCAGACGGGUGAGUAACGCGUGGGAAUCUACCCAUCUCUACGGAAUAACGCAUGGAAACGUGUGCUAAUACCGUAUACGUCCUUCGGGAGAAAGAUUUAUCGGAGAUGGAUGAGCCCGCGUUGGAUUAGCUAGUUGGUGGGGUAAAGGCCUACCAAGGCGACGAUCCAUAGCUGGUCUGAGAGGAUGAUCAGCCACACUGGGACGGAGACACGGCCCAGACACCUCGGGGAGGCAGCAGUGGGGAAUAUUGGACAAUGGGCGCAAGCCUGAUCCAGCCAUGCCGCGUGAGUGAUGAAGGCCCUAGGGUUGUAAAGCUCUUUCACCGGUGAAGAUAAUGACGGUAACCGGAGAAGAAGCCCCGGCUAACUUCGUGCCAGCCGCCGCAGUAAAAC
rnacentral:rRNA from 1 species